UACGGAGGGGGCUAGCGUUGUCCGAAGUUACUGGGCGUAAAGCGCGCGUAGGCGGGUUGGUAAGUCCGCUGUGAAAGCCCGGAGCUCAACUCCGGAGGGUCGGUGGAUACUGCCAGUCUUGAAGGUGCUAGGGGGAGAUGGAAUUACCGGUGUAGCGGUGAAAUGCGUAGAUAUCGGUAGGAACACCAGUGGCGAAAGCGGCUCACUGGACCAUAACUGACGCUGAUGCACGAAAGCUAGGGGAGCAAACAGG
rnacentral:rRNA from 1 species